rnacentral:lncRNA from 1 species
AUUACCAUCAGACUUGAGAUUAGAUUUAAAAGAUUAUUAUUUUAUUUCUGUAACUAGUCAAAAUUUGAUUUUGAUUUCUGUAUUAGAAUAGGAUAGAUUUAUUUUUUAAUUUAAUAAAAAUUAUUAUUUUAUUUAUUUAUAAAAUAAAUUAGUUGCAUCUGAUCUUUUGAUUGACAGUCUUUAUCACUUACAUAUUGAUACUAAUGUGAACUUAAAUGAAUAAGUAGUGAGUGUCAUAAGCCAAAAG